GCCUUUAUUUUGAAACUCCCGAACCUGAAGAUUUUUAUUUCCAGGUUAGCUUGAAGGUGUCAAAUGUCAAAACAGAGCAGCAGCAGUCAGCACAGUGGGAAUGGAAACUUAACACGGUCGUUAAUUACAUACGACAUGGAGGUGACGGAGAAGGAGUGGCGGCAGGUGGAGGAGCAGGUGGAGAGGCUGCUAAGUGGUCAGGGGUCAGAGGUCACCGCCUGUGACGUGGGCCUGGAGCAGAGUAAACCGGCGAAUCUGAGGAAGACUGUCACCUACAUUGUCUGCGCCAUCAUCUUCAAUGAGAAGGAGGAGGUGCUGAUGGUGCAGGAGGCAAAGACGGACUGUUAUAAGCAGUGGUACCUGCCUGCAGGGAGGGUGGAGGUGGGGGAGAGCCUGGAGGAGGCGCUGAGGAGGGAGGUGAAGGAGGAGGCGGGGUUUGACUGUGAGCCAAUCACCUUGCUGCUGAUCCAGGAGCAGGGACCGCAGUGGAUCCGCUUCACCUUCCUUGCUAAAGUCACAGGUGGGAGUCUAAAAAGUCUGUCAGCAGCAGAUCAGGAGUCUCUUCAGGCCUCCUGGUGGGACAGACAGUCUGCUCUCCCUCUGAGAGGACGAGACAUUCUCCGUCUCAUUGACUGCGGACUCAAGUACCGUCAGGAUCCCUGGCAUCCUGUCACGUUACCUGUAGACCUGAGCUGCCGUCACGUGGUGCAGAGACUUGUCCUGGUCUUUACCAACGCUGAGGAACAGAUCUGGGUCCUGCUUAUCAAAGCCCCGGUGCUCCACCUUCCCACGGCGGCGGCGGUAAAGACUCACGCGGUGACGUGGGCAGCCAACGUGGUGGUGCAGGAAGCCAUGCCGUCAGCAUAUUAUGACCAAGACGUCAACACGCUGGGCGUCUUCAGCCUGCAGCACAACGGGCGUCAGCACGGGAAGACAGACGGCGUGUGCUUCAACACGCUGGUGGCGCUGGUGCCCGACCACGUCCAACGCAAUGAGGACGGAGAAAAGGUAGAGUGGAUGGGGACGGGACAGCCUCCACCUGUAGAAAACCCUCGAUACGUCUGGCACGAAGUCCAGAAACAAACACUGAAAGAGAAACUGCUGGAGAAGACCAAAAACACCUCCAUUUUACCUAUGCACAGCCUGUACUGACCACAUUAUAUCACUGUAUCAUUCACCAAGAGGACUCUUAUUGUGAAAAGAACACAAACAAAGACUAAAUUCUACAGACUUCAAUACAUAAGAAUCAAAGUUCUUAUUUGCCAAAAAGUCACUUUAUUGCUCUUAAUAUUAUGAAGUCACAGUUUAUCUUCUUCAUCCCUGUUUGUUUGAGCUCCUGUCUGGUCGGUAGAGUUCUCCACCUUGACCUUACUGGCGUACUUGUCGAGGUUCUUCAGGUGUUUGGUUCUGUUUUCCAGGCGGACCAGCCACUCCGCCCUCAGCCUGGAAACACACAGAGGAAGGUUUUCUUUACUUGUGUUCAGCAGCUUCAAACACAGAUGUUGUAUACCUUUUAUUUAACAGCCUCAGAAACACAAAGAAGGUGAGUCAAAAUAAAGUGUUUCUUUUCUUUUCUCGCAGUGUUUCUGUCCUUACAGUUAUUUCGGUCCUCAUAGUUUUAGGUCUUUGUAGCGUAUUGGUCCUCGUAGUGUUUCAGUAUCCCAUCUAAAACAAUUGUUCUAUUUAAAUGUUUUGGCCAACACAAAGGCGACGUGCGGCAACGCCACAGUUGGCCUUCGUUGCCACUAGUUGUUGGCCGUCUGCUUGGUGUGUCAGGCCCUUUAUUAGUCAAGGCAGAUCUGGUAUCUUGGUGACAGCUGUGGUAUUAUCACUGUCACAUCAGCGUUUCACUUCACUCUUUUAUUUCACGAUCAAUCAAAUACACACCGUCACUCUGCGUGUAAGCAUGCACGCAGCAGAUAAAAAUUGCAAACGUGUAGACAAAAGACAAAUAGACUACAGACACGCUGUGUAACCUAACCCUCACUGUCAGCUGUCCUCACUGUGUCUUCGUCACCUUCCUGUCGAGUUUUCUGGAUUAUUCCAUUUGUCUUUUUAGCUGCUGAUAAGCCACCUGACCUCAGCAGAGGCAGACACAAAAUAGACAGACAGACCAUAGAGUCCUCAGACUAUCUAC